rfam:Treponema sp. OMZ 838, complete genome.
ACCGCCACGGAUGGCGGUGGUUCCAAACAGCAGUAAGUUUUUCGAUAGAAAAACUUAUCGUUGAGCAGUGUACACGGACGUACACUGCUCAACAGCC